GAAUUAAAAAUUUAGAUAAUUUUAUACUAAAGCAUAGUAAGUUGCUUGCAAGUCACCAUGGUAAUCUCAGAUCAGAGGGCACUUAUACCUAUAUUCCUUCGAAAUAACUCUUGAUGACAGAGUUCUAGAGUUGGUCAAGUUCAGUGAAAUAUACUCCUAUAUUUCAUCUGCAUGCCAUACCAGCAUCUCCACGCUCCUUAGUUAAGCAAACAACCAACUUAUAUGAUACAUAAUAACCUACACUUGAUAUGUC
rnacentral:lncRNA from 1 species